rnacentral:tRNA from 1 species
GCGGCUGUGGGUCAGUGGUAGAAUUCUCAUGUUCCACGUGGGAGACCCAGGUUUGAUUCCUGGCUGAUGCA